rnacentral:rRNA from 1 species
GACGCUUAUGCGUUGUUGGGUAGGGGAGCGUUCUGUAAGCCUGUGAAGGUGUACUGUGAGGUAUGCUGGAGGUAUCAGAAGUGCGAAUGCUGACAUAAGUAACGAUAAAGCGGGUGAAAAGCCCGCUCGCCGGAAGACCAAGGGUUCCUGUCCAACGUUAAUCGGGGCAGGGUGAGUCGACCCCUAAGGCGAGGCCGAAAGGCGUAGUCGAUGGGAAACAGGUUAAUAUUCCUGUACUUGGUGUUACUGCGAAGGGGGGACGGAGAAGGCUAUGUUGGCCGGGCGACGGUUGUCCCGGUUUAAGCGUGUAGGCUGGUUUUCCAGGCAAAUCCGGAAAAUCAAGGCUGAGGCGUGAUGACGAGGCACUACGGUGCUGAAGCAACAAAUGCCCUGCUUCCAGGAAAAGCCUCUAAGCAUCAGGUAACAUCAAAUCGUACCCCAAACCGACACAGGUGGUCAGGUAGAGAAUACCAAGGCGCUUGAGAGAACUCGGGUGAAGGAACUAGGCAAAAUGGUGCCGUAACUUCGGGAGAAGGCACGCUGAUAUGUAGGUGAAGUCCCUUGCGGAUGGAGCUGAAAUCAGUCGAAGAUACCAGCUGGCUGCAACUGUUUAUUAAAAACACAGCACUGUGCAAACACGAAA